GAUGAACGCUGGCGGCGCGCCUAACACAUGCAAGUCGAACGAUUAAAGCACCUUCUGGUGUGUAUAAAGUGGCGAACGGCUGAGUAACACGUGGGCAACCUGCCCCUUUCAUUGGGAUAGCUACGGUAAACCGUGGAGAAUACCUAAUACUUCGAGACUUCCGCAUGGAAGACUCGAAAAAGCUCCGGCGGUGGGGGAUGGUCCCGCGUCCUGUCAGCUUGUUGGUGGGGUUACGGCCUACCAAGGCAAUGAUGGGUAGCUGUGAUGAGAGACCGACCAGCCAGAUUGGGACUGAGACACGGCCCAGACUCGUACGGGAGGCAGCAGUGGGGAAUCUUGCACAAUGGGCGCAAGCCUGAUGAAGAGACGCCGCGUGCGGGAUGAAGGCCUUCGGGUUGUAAACCGCUUUCAGCAGGGACGAGGCGAAAGUGACGGUACCUGCAGAAGAAGCCCCGGCUAACUACGUG
rnacentral:rRNA from 1 species